rnacentral:rRNA from 1 species
AGAGUUUGAUCCUGGCUCAGGAUGAACGCUGGCGGUAUGCCUAACACAUGCAAGUCGAACGAAGUCUUCGGACUUAGUGGCGGACGGGUGAGUAACGCGUGAGAAUCUGCCUCGGGAUGGGGACAACAGUUGGAAACGACUGCUAAUACCCGAUGUGCCGAAAGGUGUAAAUAUUUUGCCUGAAGAGGAGCUCGCGUCUGAUUAGCUAGUUGGUGGGGUAAAAGCUUACCAAGGCAACGAUCAGUAGCUGGUCUGAGAGGAUGAGCAGCCACACUGGGACUGAGACAUGGCCCAGACUCCUACGGGAGGCAGCAGUGGGGAAUUUUCCGCAAUGGGCGCAAGCCUGACGGAGCAACGCCGCGUGAGGGACGAAGGCCUCUGGGCUGUAAACCUCUUUUCUCAAGGAAGAAGACAUGACGGUACUUGAGGAAUAAGCCACGGCUAAUUCCGUGCCAGCAGCCGCGGUAAUACGGGAGUGGCAAGCGUUAUCCGGAAUUAUUGGGCGUAAAGCGUCCGCAGGCGGCCUUGAAAGUCUGUUGUUAAAGCGUGGAGCUCAACUCCAUUUCAGCAAUGGAAACUACAAGGCUAGAGUGUGGUAGGGGCAGAGGGAAUUCCCGGUGUAGCGGUGAAAUGCGUAGAUAUCGGGAAGAACACCAGUGGCGAAGGCGCUCUGCUGGGCCAUAACUGACGCUCAUGGACGAAAGCCAGGGGAGCGAAAGGGAUUAGAUACCCCUGUAGUCCUGGCCGUAAACGAUGAACACUAGGUGUCGGGAGAAUUAACCCUUUCGGUGUCGUAGCCAACGCGUUAAGUGUUCCGCCUGGGGAGUACGCACGCAAGUGUGAAACUCAAAGGAAUUGACGGGGGCCCGCACAAGCGGUGGAGUAUGUGGUUUAAUUCGAUGCAACGCGAAGAACCUUACCAGGGUUUGACAUCCUGCGAAUCCCUUGGAAACUUGGGAGUGCCUUCGGGAGCGCAGUGACAGGUGGUGCAUGGCUGUCGUCAGCUCGUGUCGUGAGAUGUUGGGUUAAGUCCCGCAACGAGCGCAACCCACGUCUUUAGUUGCCAGCAUUCAGUUGGGCACUCUAGAGAGACCGCCGGUGAUAAACCGGAGGAAGGUGUGGAUGACGUCAAGUCAUCAUGCCCCUUACAUCCUGGGCUACACACGUACUACAAUGCUACGGACAAAGGGCAGCAAACUCGCGAGAGCUAGCAAAUCCCAUAAACCGUGGCUCAGUUCAGAUCGUAGGCUGCAACUCGCCUACGUGAAGGAGGAAUCGCUAGUAAUCGCAGGUCAGCAUACUGCGGUGAAUACGUUCCCGGGCCUUGUACACACCGCCCGUCACACCAUGGAAGUUGGCCAUGCCCGAAGUCGUUACUCCAACCCGCAAGGGAGGAGGACGCCGAAGGUGGGGCUGAUGACUGGGGUGAAGUCGAAACAAGGUA